GGUGCGUCACUUGAGUGGGUUGAGUCACUGAUGUGAUCUUGCUGUCUGGGUCGGUGCCGUGGCGAAGAUCUUUGUGGGCUAUACUCGGCCUUGCCUCAGGAUGGACCUGGGCCCUAGGACCAUGCCUCAGGACGACCUGGCAUGAGGACUCCUUGCUGUCCCUAGUCCAUCUGGCCGUGCUGCUGCUCCAGUUUCAACUGUUCUGCCUGCGGCUAUGGAACCCUGACCUGUUCACCAGACGUGCUACCUGUCCCAGACAUGCUUUUUUAAACUCUCUAGAGACAGCAGGAGUGGUAGAGAUACUCUUAAUGAUCGGCUAUGAAAAGCCAACUGACAUUUACUCCUGAGGUGCUGACUUGCUGCACUCUCGACAACUACUGUGAUUAUUAUUAUUUGACCAUGCUGGUCAUUUAUGAACAUUUGAACAUCUUGGCCAUGUUCUGUUAUUAACUCCACCCGGCACAGCCAGAAGAGGACUGGCCACCCCUCAUAGCCUGGUUCCUCUCUAGGUUUCUUCCUAGGUUUUGGCCUUUCUAGGGAGUUUUUCCUAGCCACCAUGCUUCUACACCUGCAUUGCUUGCUGUUUGGGGUUUUAGGCUGGGUUUCUGUAUUGCACUUUGAGAUAUCAGCUGAUGUACGAAGGGCUAUAUAAAUACAUUGUAUUUUAUUUUAUUUGAAAUUUGAUUAGUACUCGGUACCACUGUUUUGUUCGGUUCACAUUCACUCGUUCACAUUCGCAGUUGUGUCGGUAUUCUAAGCCAAACUGCUAUUUAGUAUUUUUGUAUGCGUGCAUGAAUAACUGGCCUACCACUUUCAGCAUUUAGUUGGCAUUAUUUUGGCAAGAUAGCUGUGUGUAUGGCUGCAUUCACGUACUGUAGGCCGUUUGCAAUACAGUAUCUUGUAGCCUAUAUUCAUUACCAAAACGGCCUUGCUGUAGGGCGCUGUCCAUUGUGCUAAUACAGCGCAGCAAAUUUAGGCUUCAGAUUUCAAAAGCACUUAAUGAUCUCAGAGUCUCAGCGUUUGAACUUUGUUUAUUGCAUGAUUAUAUUAGCCAAAUUCAAUAUAAGUCCAAUGCAAGUACCAUAACAAAAUUUGCCGCCUUUCCGAUUUCAACUGCCUCCUUAGUCAAUUUAUGCUGGCGCCGGGUCUACUCCUGAGGAGUAAGAGAUGUUGUCAUGCACUUUUCACGACUGUGUUGGUGUCUGUGGACCAUGAUAGAUCCUUAGCGAUGUGGAUACCGAAGAACUUGAAGCUCUCGAUCCACUCCCCUAUGGCCCCGUCGAUGUGAAUUGGAUCGUGCUCAGCUCUCCAUUUCCUAUGGUCCACAAUAAGCUCCUUUGUCCUGCUGACGUUGAGGGUUAGUUUGUUGUUCUGGUAUCACACUGCCAGGUCUCUGACCUCCUACCUAUAUGAUGACUCAUCGUUAUUGAUGAUCAGGCCUACCAUGUUGUGUCAUCUGCAAACUUAAUGACGGUGUUGGAAAUGUGUGCUGCCACACAACUCCAAGCAAAAAGGGAGUACAUGAGGGGACUAAGCAAGCACCCCUCAGUGUGACGGAUGUGUUGUUGCCUACACUCACCACCUGGGGGUGACUAAUCAAGAAGUUCAGGAUCCAGUUGCAGGGAGGGUUGUUCAGUCCCAGAGUCCUUAGCUUAGUGAUGAGCUUGGAGGGCACUGUGUUGUUGAAAUUAACAGCAUUCUCACAUACAGUAGGGGUUCCUCUUGUCCAGGUGGGAAAGGGCAGUGUGUAGUGCAAUAGAUAUUGUGCAAUAGAUAUUGCGUAAUCUGUGCAUCGGUUGGGGCGGUUUGUUAGAGUCGGUCGAGAUUGUCUGGGAUUUUGGUGUUGAUAUGAGCCAAGAUCAGCCUUUCAAAGCCUUUCAUGGCUACAGAUGUGAGUGCUAUGGAGCGAUAGUCAUUUAGACAGGUAACGUUAGCGUUCUUGGGCACAGGGACUAUGCUUGUCUGCUUGAAACAUGUAGGUAUUACAGACUGGGUCAGGGAGAGGUUGAAAAUGUCAGUGAAGACACUUGCCAACUGGUUAGCGCAUGCUCAGAGUAUGCGUCCUGGUAAUCCGUCUUACCCUGCGGCCUUGUGAAUGUUCACCUUAAACCGUUUUAGAUCUCUUACUCACAUCGGCUUCGGAGAGUGGGAUCACACAGUGGUCCGGAACAUCGGGUGCUCUCAUGCAUGGUUCAAUGUUGCUUGCCUUGAAGCGAGCAUAGAAGGCAUUUGGCUCGUCUGGUAUGCUCGCAUCACUGGGCAGCUCGUGACUGGGUUUCCGUGAAUGCAUGCAAGCCCUACCACAUCAGACGAGCAUCAGAGACAGCGUAGUAGUAUUAGAUCGUAAUCCUGUAUUGACACUUUGCCUGUUUGAUUGGUCGGCGAAGGGCAUAGCGGGAUUUCUUAUAAACAUUCAAAUUAGUGUCCCACUCCUUGAAAGCAGCAGUUCUUGCCUUUAUCUCAGUGCUGACGUUGUCUGUAAUCCAUGGCUUCUGGUUGGGAUAUGUAUGUACGGUUGCUGUGGGGACGACAUCAUUGAUGCACUUAUUAAUUAAGCCGGUGACUGAUGUGGUAAACUCCUCAAUGCCAUUGGAUGAAUCCCAUAACAUAUUCCAGUCUGCACUAGCAAAAAAAUCCUCUAGCUUAGCAUUCGCUUUAUCUGACCAUUUCCGUAUUAAGCACGUCACUGGUACUUUCUGUUUGAGUUUUUGCUUGUGAGCAGGUAUCAGGAGGAUAGCGUUAUGGUCAGAUUUGCCAAAUAGAGGGUGAGGGAGAGCUUUGUAGGCGUUUCUGUGUGUGGCGUAAAGGUGAUCUAGAGUUUUUUCACCUCUAGAUGCACACAAAAUGAUGUGGAAACAACGUUGAUUCGACCAGUGUGCAUUCAGUGGGUCACAACAAGAUAUAUUACAAAGAAUGGAGGACAAACAGGCCAUGGAUAUCUGGUUCAUACAGUGCUACAAUUAAUUCCCAAAUCAUGUUGUUAAGCCACAAUAAAAUAAACACCGCUUGAAUGCCCCUUUUAGUGAGCAAGUACUUGGCAUGUCCCUGAAACGGUUUGACUAAACAAAAUAACGAUGGAGUGUGUCAGUCUCUAUUUUUGGCCAGGCGAAAGACAGGAGAUAAUGAGGAGAACAGAGGCUGACCCAAACACAAAGAGAGGAGCUGCCAAGCCAAUGCUGUCAACGUUAUCAUAUAUCCUGAUGCUUAGUCACGUUACCUCUAUACAUAUCUACCCCUAACACUCCAGUAUCCCUGCACAUUGUAAACAUGGUUUUGGCACUGAUCCUGGAACUGGCCCUGUAAAUGGCAUACUUACUUUGUCGUCUUCUUCUUAUUUCUAUUUCUUCCAUGUUUUUGUUCUACUUUACUUUAUUUUAAAGUACUAUGAAUAUUGAUUACUGCAUUGUUGGGAAAGAGUUUAGUAGUAGUAGUUAUUUUCUGUAGUAGUAGUAGUUAUUUUCUGUUUAGUGUUUUCUGCACCUGACAGGACUGUUUCGGUUUCGUUUAUUCUCUUUGUUCUUUUGUUAGAGUGUUCAGUUUAAAUGAAAGGCAUGAACACUUACGACGCUGCGCUUUGGUCCGAUUCUUCCUCUACAGAUGACGACCCCCGUUACAGAGCUACCCACCACCAACGGACCAGGCAGCGUGGUAUGGAGGAGCAGAGGGUUCAGGACUCCUGGACAUGGGAGGAGAUAUUGGACGGAAAGGGACCCUGGAGACAGGCUGGGGAAUAUCGCCACCCGAAAAAGGAGCUGGAGGCAGCUAAAGCUGAGAGGCGGCAAUAUGAGGCAAGGCAGCGCAGCAGGCAUGAGAGGCAGACCCAAAUUAUUUUUUGAGGAGUGCACAUGGGGAGAUUGGCGGAGUCAGGCGAUAGACCUGAGCCAAUUCCCUGUGUUUACCAGAAUCAGCGCGGUACUGGUCAGGCACCGUGUUAUGCGGUAAAGCGCACAGUGUCUCCAGUACAUGCUCAUAGCCCGGAGCGCUAUAUGCCAGCCCCCCGCAAGUGCCAUGCGAGAGUGGGCAUCCAGCCAGGGCGGAUUGUGGCAGCUCAGCGCACUUGGUCUCCGGUGCGCCGUUUUGGUCCAGGGUAUCCUGCUCCGGCUCUGCGCACUGAGUCUCCGGUACGCUGGGACUGUUCAGUUCGUCCUAUGCCUGCGCUCCGCCCGUGCCUGGCUAAAGUGGGCAUUGAGCCAAGUGGAGACGUGUGAGUGGUAAGCACCAGAUAUCCAGUGCUCCCCCACAGCCCGGUUCAACCUGUGCCUGCACUCUGGAGGGGCCGGGUUAAAGUUUGCAUUCAGCCUGGAGGAGUGGUGCCAAGGCUGAGCACAGGAGCUCCAGUGCUCCCCCACAGCCCGGUUCAUCCGGUGCCUCCUCUACGCACCAGGCCUCCUGUAGGUCUCCCCAGCCUGCUGGGCCCUGUGGCAACCCCACGCACCAGGCUGUCUCUGCGUCUCCUCCCUCCAGUCCGGAGCCCCCAGCGACGCCCUCCAGUCCGGAGCAUCCAGCGACGCCCUCCAGUCCGGAGCCUCCAGCGACGCCCUCCAGUCCGGAGCCUCCAAUAAGGGUGCCCAGUCCGGGGCCCACAACAAGGGUGCCCAGUCCGGGGCCUGCUACGAGGGUGCCCAGUCCGGGGCCCGCUACGAGGGUGCCCAGUCUGGGGCCCGCUACGAGGGUGCCCAGUCCGGGGCCUGCUACGAGGGUGCCCAGUCCGGGGCCCGCUACGAGGGUGCCCAGUCCGGGGCCCGCUACGAAGGCGCCCAGUCCGGGUCGGCGGCAAGGGUUCCCACUCUAGAGGCGCCACCUAAGUGGGCCAAGCCAGAGGUGGAGCGGGGUCUACGUCCCGCACCAGAGCCGCCACCAUGGAGAAAUGCCCACCCAGACCCUCCCCUAUAGGUGGGGGGGGGGGGGGUACUGUCAUGCCCUGACCGUAGAGAGCUUUUUAUGUCUCUAUUUUGGUUUGGUCAGGGUGUGAUUUGGGUGGGAAUUCUAUGUUCCUUUUUCUAUGUUUUGUAUUUCUUUGUUUUGGCCGGGUAUGGUUCUCAAUCAGGGACAGCUGACUAUCAAUGUCUCUGAUUGGGAACCAUACUUAGGUAGCUUUUUCCCACAUGGUUUUUGUGGGUAGUUAUUUUCUGUUUAGUGUUUUCUGCACCUGACAGGACUGUUUUGGUUUCGUUUAUUCUCUUUGUUCUUUUGUUAGAGUGUUCAGUUUAAAUAAAAAGUCAUGAACACUUA